CAACGUUUAGUUUUUUUUUUUGGUAAACCUCAACGUUUAGUCUUUUGAUGUUCAUCUCCUCUAUUCAUCAAAGUCAUCUUCAAUAGUAUAACACUGCCAACAGAUUCGUCUCUAUAGCUUGAAUCGAGGUGGAAGUGAGAAGCCGUAGAAUCUGGGGACGAGAGGCGGCGUAUAGGGAGUCUGGAGACAAAUCUUCGCUGGAAUUGAAACCAGCAUGUAGAGAGAUAUCAAAGAGGAGUUAAAAAAUUGGUUGGGAGAGAAGACUUCCAGCUCCAGGGAGACCUUAGAAGAAACUGAAUGGAGCAUGUGAAGAAACAAAGGAGAAAAUUUGGUACAGUCGAUGAACUAAUCCAAGUGAUCACUCCAAAAGGCAGAGAUAAACAAAGAUAAACAAACACUUUUAAGAUGAAACCAGAACAGAGAAACCUGUUUUCCAAAUACUUUGAAAUAUCACAAUUCUAUUUUUCAGUUUGAGGUAUUAGACUUGGGUUAUUAUGAAAUGGAAAGUGGGAAAGAAGAGAGUAUGCAUACAUAUCCUUUGAGAUCUCUUGCUUCAUCUCUUGAAAAGGGUCUGUGCGUAUGAGUUAACCAAGAAUUAAAUUCAGCGAUAUUUUCACAGGUUUGUAUUGAGUUUUCUCAUUGAUGAUUUAUGAGUUAUCUAUAUAAUUUCGCCAUUGCUCUCUCAGGUUUAAGAUGAUUCACCAUGUUCCGGUUGGUUCAAAACUUUUAUGUAUGUAAUGUCUGUUGCAGGUGAAGUCUCCUUGCUCUUUCACUCAAAGAGAGAUUGAAUAUCUCACGGACACCAUCCAUAAUGGUGGCACUGAAGUAAUGAGUCUUGAUCCGAUGUUUCAUUUGCUGGAGGACAUGUAUUGAGUUUUUAUAAUCAUUGUUCUUCACUCCAUAUAUAUUUAACUGCAUAUGAACUGAUGCUGCAGUAAUGCUACGGUCACGAUUGAUGGCAACGACCUUCGAUAUGAUAGAUCCAGCACAGUGACAUGACUGGCGGUAGAAACCAAAACCAGAGUUACGCUAAAGCAAAGGGAACAAGGAAACAUAAAGUAAAAACAAAGUUGUGAUUGCCCUCCUUGCCUCUUCUGUGAAAACUUAGAAAUACUUUUGCUUUGUGUUUGUUAGUGUCCGUAAAAUCCACAUCUAUAUGUAA